rnacentral:rRNA from 1 species
GAUGAACGCUAGCGGCAGGCUUAAUACAUGCAAGUCGAGGGGCAGCAUGAUUGUAGCAAUACAAUUGAUGGCGACCGGCAAACGGGUGCGGAACACGUACACAACCUCUCAAUAAGUAGGGAAUAGCCCAGAGAAAUUUGGAUUAAUACCCCGUAACAUAACGAUGUGGCAUCACAUUGUUAUUAUAGAUUUUUCGCUUAUUGAUGGGUGUGCGUCUGAUUAGAUAGUCGGCGGGGUAACGGCCCACCAAGUCUACGAUCAGUAGCUGAUGUGAGAGCAUGAUCAGCCACACGGGCACUGAGACACGGGCCCGACUCCUACGGGAGGCAGCAGUAAGGAAUAUUGGACAAUGGACGCAAGUCUGAUCCAGCCAUGCCGCGUGAAGGAUUAAGGUCCUCUGGAUUGUAAACUUCUUUUAUAAGGGACGAAAAAAGGCUUUUCUAAGUCGUCUGACGGUACCUUAUGAAUAAGCACCGGCUAACUCCGUGCCAGCCGCCGCAGUAAUAC